rnacentral:rRNA from 1 species
AAAUUGAAUAGUUUGAUCAUGGCUCAGAUUGAGCGCUGGCGGCAGGCCUAACUCAUGCAAGUCCAACGGUAACAGGAAGCAGCUUGCUGCUGUGCUGACGAGUGGCGGACGGGUGAGUAAUGUCUGGGAAGCUGCCUGAUGGAGGGAGAUAACUACUGGAAUCGGUAGCAAAUACCGCAUAACGUCGCAAGACCAAAGAGGGG